UACGUAGGGUGCAAGCGUUGUCCGGAAUUAUUGGGCGUAAAGAGCUCGUAGGCGGUGUGUCGCGUCGGCCGUGAAAACCUGCAGCUCAACUGUGGGCUUGCGGUCGAUACGGGCAUCACUGGAGUUCGGCAGGGGAGACUGGAAUUCCUGGUGUAGCGGUGAAAUGCGCAGAUAUCAGGAGGAACACCGGUGGCGAAGGCGGGUCUCUGGGCCGAUACUGACGCUGAGGAGCGAAAGCGUGGGGAGCAAACAGG
rnacentral:rRNA from 1 species